UACGUAGGCAGCAAGCGUUGUUCGGAAUUACUGGGCGUAAAGCGUGCGCAGGCGGUUUUGUAAGCCAGGUGUGAAAUCCCCGGGCUCAACCUGGGAAUGGCAUUUGGGACUGCAAGGCUGGAGUGCGGCAGAGGAGACUGGAAUUCCUGGUGUAGCAGUGAAAUGCGUAGAUAUCAGGAGGAAUACCGAUGGCGAAGGCAGGUCUCUGGGCUGACACUGACGCUCAUGCACGAAAGCGUGGGGAGCAAACAGG
rnacentral:rRNA from 1 species